rnacentral:rRNA from 1 species
UACAGAGAGUGCAAGCGUUAAUCGGAAUCACUGGGCGUAAAGCGCGCGUAGGUGGAUAUUUAAGUUGGAUGUGAAAGCCCUGGGCUUAACCUGGGAACUGCACCCAAUACUGGGUAUCUCGAGUAUGGUAGAGGGAAGUGGAAUUUCCGGUGUAGCGGUGAAAUGCGUAGAUAUCGGAAAGAACACCAGUGGCGAAGGCGACUUCCUGGACUAAUACUGACACUGAGGCGCGAAAGCGUGGGGAGCAAACAGG